UCGACGGGUGCUUCGCCUAUUAAAACUGCUCAUGAUCAGAUCAUCCUUAACGAUUCAUUUGCAUCAUUUCAAUCAUGGUGUGACACUUGGCAAAUGCAAAUCAACU
rnacentral:lncRNA from 1 species